AUUAAAUGAAGGUGCAUUGUCCUUACGCAGUAUAGUUUGCAUGCUUUCAGUCUGCUAAUAAUUUCAUUUUAAGACUCACGAUAGCUUACUUAUAAUUAGCUGGCAACACAAAAUGCUAUAAAACAUUUUAUGAAGUUACAAAAGAGUAUUUACUUUUUUUAGUUGACAGUGAUGAAUGAAUUCAGUGAAACUAAUAAAAUACUGUGUGAAAUACAUGGGACUGAUUUGGGAAAUAAAAAAAAAACAUUUUUGAAGAAAAGCUACACAUCUGGCUGACACGACCCUUUUCUUGAUGAUGUCAAAAAAGAGAAAGCUUAUUUCUCUCUUUGGAAGCUAGAAAGAUAAAGCUGAAUAAUUAUGCAAAGAAUUAAGAUGGGGUGGGUUGCAACCACCUCUCCCUUAUUUUCUUUGAGACACAGACAGGUUUAGCUGGAUUGUCAGGACCACAAUGAAACUUUUUGAGGCACACUACUGGAGCUACUAGAAUCUACUGGAUGAAAUUAAAAGCCAGCAAUCUCUACAUACCACCAGGUUUUGGGGAAGCACACAAGGAGACAAUAACAGAUCAUCACACAGAAUUUGUCUUGAGAAGGUCCUAACUGCUGCUGGCUUGCAGGAGCAGGUAACUCAGGCAAGGACAGAGA
rnacentral:lncRNA from 1 species